rnacentral:rRNA from 1 species
AUGGCGGUUCGGUUGCGGCCAACGAUCGGCAGGGGACGCUCGGAGAGACAAUGUUGUAGCAGCGUGGUCCGUGGAUCUUGCGCCGGUGGACAAGCGCAUGUGCCGGCCGUCAUGGUACAUGGACACAUGAACCAAGUGCAGCAGGGGCAGCAACCUGGCCUAAUGAUGUACCCGAUGGCACUGGCCAACGACAAGUUCUCUAUGAUGGGCGAUGUUACGGGGUUCGGCCCCAACAGGUAUGCAGGGAUGGCUGUGGUGCUUCCGCCACCACCUCCUCAAGGUGGGGUGGGUAUUGUGAGCCCCGGGUCAUCAGACGGGUGGAGCGCCAUGACGCAGGCUGACAUGACGAACUACAUCGGCGAUGGAGCGAUGAUGGAAAACGUCCAUGAUCCGGAGGAUCAGUCCUCCAAGAGGAGCAUCGAGCAUCGCCACCGCCGCGUGAUCAAGAAUCACGAGUCAGCCACACGAUCGCGUGCUAGGAACAGGCACUUACAUUGUUGCCAAAAUUGUUGGUUUUUCUGCAAUGCCAUUUCUGCAAUAGCUUAUAUUAUGGAUCUUGAAGCUGAACUAAACUACCUCAAGGAGGAGAAGGCUUGUCUAAAAGAUGAGGAGCUGGUGGAGAAGAUGAUGGAACAGUCCAAG